UUGAUAAAACCAUUGUCCAGAUCAGUGGUUCUUAAGGCUGACUGCAAGUUAGAAUCACCGGGAAAGAUUCUAAAAACACUGGUGCCAGACUCCUUUCCCAAAUCAACCCAGGCAGGGGGGCGGGGAGAGAGGAUGUGUGUGUGUGUGUGUGUGUGUGUGUGUACUUGUGCACCUGUGUGUGUUUUAAGCCCCUAAUAGGGUGAUUCUAAUGGGUACCACAUAGGAGGCUGAAAAGCCAUAGGUCUAGGUCACUUUUUUUUUUUCAUUCUGGUUUCCAAAAUGAUAUUAUCCUCAAUUUAUGCCUUUUUCUUCAUUACUUUGCUGAGCUCUUAACGGGUAGAAGUGCUGUUUUAAGGAGCGACCCACGUGGUAUGUUGCAAAAUGAUCAGCUCCCAUUCGUAGCAGGAAGCCACUCCCACCUCUGCCCACCGCCUCCGUGCUUCCAGGGCGUCACCUCUCCAGGCACCUCAAGCUACUUUUGAAUGUCCAGAGCCUGUCACCCCACCAAGGCCACCCCCUCCUGUCCCAUCAGCCUCAGAGGUGAUCUUGGGGUGGUGUGGAUGGGCUUUUAAUUUCUCCACUUCUGUAACUUCUUUAAGGAAUCCUUAAGCAUGGCGGGGAAGCCCAAGCUUCAUUACUUCAGUGCACGAGGCAGAAUGGAGUCCAUCUGGCGGCUCUUGGCGGCAGCAGGAGUAGAGAGAUAGAGACAGCCAGCGAGAGAGGGAACACAAGCAGGGGGAGUGGGAGAGGAAG